GUGCUCGCUUUGGCAGCACAUAUACUAAAAUUGGAACCAUACAGAGAUUAGCAUGGCCCCUGUGCAAGGAAGACACACAAAAAUACACAGUGAACUAUGGGUCC